CGCUAUUAUAUCCCGAUAUAUCGCGGAAUAUCGACUGCUUUGAGAGAUAACGAGAACGAGUAAGAUUCUCGCGUUUAGUAUCUCUCGUAUGAAACCAGACGAUAGUUUUUAAUUUACAACGACAUGUUCAUUCGAUACUACUCGGUUAGCGAGCAUAAGCUAAAGAAGUUAAGCAUAGUCUCGUUUAUACCCAUUGGAAUUCACCUCAGAAAUAACUAGCAUCGAAUAAAAAAGUUGUGUUUCACUGUAAAUAUAAAAAAGUGUAAAUAAUAAAAAAGGUUACUCUAUUGACGGGAAUGACGUCGCUCUAUCUAAGGUAAAGAAAAGAUAUACUCUGCGGGCACAAGGUUAGACUACACGAUUAUCCGACAACCUUGGCAAAAACGUUUUUGUCGGGAUAAUCGAGUCCUGGCGCCAGGAGAUCAUCAAUUAACACUUUCCUGACAAGUCCGCUGUUAUUAACAAUUUUCAGACGGUUGAACUGCAUGUAUGUAUGUUUGUACUUGUGCUCUUCGAUUACCAAUAUAACGAUGAUUACCAUUCUCGUUACGACAUCGUUCGACAUGUCGGCGAUAUUCCUCUCUCUCCGAUACGAAUUAAUUCGAACUGGUCGAUUCGGAGCAAUAUACCAGGGAAUCAACGAGAUCUUUGUCCGUACGCAUAUUCAAAGGGUUUCCAAUUUCACGCCAACUGAGAGAGACAUCUUUAUCAGAACACCGAGUGCAUCUGAAUACCAGUCGAUGAGACGACGGUUGGGUUGAUCGGUUGGUAGUAGUCGGCAAAGGUGGUUACCGAACAAAGGGCACUGAAUGUACCCUAUUGCAAACGUCACAUCCAGUAAACACGCGGAAGAGAGGGGAAAGAGAGAUGGAAACAAGAAGCUGACUUUUCGUUAUUCUGUUAUCCGAUAUGUCGCAAGCGAAAAGGGGAAGAGAGAAGGCCUAACUUCUAUGGCCUUUACGAGAUGCAAAUAUCGGGCAGUCGGGCAGGCAGUCAAGCGCACCAUCGAACCGCCACCAAAGAAAGGGCUCACACGCCAGGCCUCUUCAUCUUUGGCAUACACGAUCGCUAUGAACCCUUCAACCGCAACUAAAAUAUACUCUCUGAACACACCUUAUCAACUAGUUACUGCUCUACACCUGCUCGUAAAUAUCAUGAACUUGAAGUCUUUUACUAAUCUAAAUCAUCACCUUCACUACGUGUAGUGUCAGUACGAUAAUAAAAAAUAUGAAAUACGAGACUCUUUCUUUCUGAUGAAAGAAGAUAAUGCAAUCCAGACGCAACCCGAGUCUUUAGAAAGUAACAAAAAAAAAAAAAAACGAAAUAAAUACAUAAAUUGACAAGUUAUAAAACUAGUAGAAUGAGAUCAAUUCAAUGAGAAAUUAAGCACUUAUGUAAUUGUAUAAAAAGAAUAUUCUUACGCACGUGAGAGAGAACACAGUUUCAAGUGCAAGGUCAUAACAAGAGCGCAACGUGUAGCAGGAUGAGGUGAAAGUAAACUCAAAAGACUAAGGUCAAUGUUCGAUGGCUCGAAGCGACGAAAAUUUCUCGAGUUCUACUGAAAAUUUAACGUAUAUUCAUUUCCAAAUUUCAUCGACGAAAUCCUACAAAUGUUAUCCCAUCUACAACACUAACUUUUAUUUCUUUUUAUUUUUCGCAUUAACUUCUAUAAUUUCUUUUAGAACGUAAUUACACGAAACAAGUGGCUAUUUCUAUGAUCAUCUACCGAGUCUAAAUAUCAUGUCAUCCUUUGUCACGAGUUUGCGAGACUGGGAACUCGGAACCCUUUAUUCGAUAUGAUGUUGGUAAUACUUGCCCUAUUUUGGUGAUCAACUUCCCAUGGACGUGGAGAUAGGAUGUAACAAAACGUUUAUUCACCUAAUAAACAAAAUAAAAAUUGUUAUUAUAAA